rnacentral:rRNA from 1 species
ACGGAAGGCAGCAGUGGGGCAUAUUGCACAAUGGGCGCAAGCCUGAUGCAGCGAUGCCGCGUGAGGGAAGAAGGUUUUCGGAUUGUAAACCUCUGUCAACAGGGACGAAAAUGACGGUACCUGUGAAGGAAGCUCCGGCUAACUACGUGCCAGCAGCCGCGGUAAUACGUAGGGAGCAAGCGUUAUCCGGAAUUACUGGGUGUGAAGGGAGUGUAGGCGGGACUGUAAGUCAGAUGUGAAAUAUGCCGGCUCAACUGGCAGACUGCAUUUGAAACUGCGGUUCUUGAGUGAAGUAGAGGUAAGCGGAAUUCCUAGUGUAGCGGUGAAAUGCGUAGAUAUUAGGAGGAACAGCAGUGGCGAAGGCGGCUUACUGGGCUUUAACUGACGCUGAGGCUCGAAAGCGUGGGGAGCAAACAGGAUUAGAUACCCUGGUA